UCAGGCUAUGUGAAUUGCAUGUUACUUUUGUGGGAUCAGCAUAAGACGUUUUAUUUGUAUUACAACUGGAAGGGGAUAAUUUUUCUUGUCUGGGAUUCAAACUUGUUUCGAAUACAGAAAUGGAGGUUAAUAUCGGCGAUGUUUAUGCUGUUAACUUCAUUGGUUGGGGUUUGGUUCAUGAAUCUGCUCUUGCCAGCUUGGAAGUAUCCCUUUUAGAUCAUUCUUCUGAGAUGUACAGGUUUACUAUCUAUGUUGUUCACAAAUCAAAGACCCAAUCAUCUGUUUGGAUGCCAUUAGUUUACACUUUUGGUCAUAAAGAUUUGGAGAUUUGUAUGUCUUGGGUAAACCAGAUUAAUUCUCAUCUGCACAUGGAAGUUAAGCGACCUAAGAAUCUUCUGGUACGUGACAAUAUUGUUUGCUUAGUUUUAAUUUUGUUGGUUUAGUUUCUUCUUUAGCACUGUCA